rnacentral:rRNA from 1 species
UACGGGGGGGGUAAGCGUUGUUCGGAUUUACUGGGCGUAAAGGGCGCGUAGGCGGCAAUUCAAGUCACUUGUGAAAUCUCUGAGCUUAACUCAGAACGGUCAAGUGAUACUGCUUUGCUAGAGUGCAGAAGGGGCAACCGGAAUUCUUGGUGUAGCGGUGAAAUGCGUAGAUAUCAAGAGGAACACCGGAGGUGAAGACGGGUUGCUGGGCUGACACUGACGCUGAGGCGCGAAAGCUAGGGUAGCAAACGGG